rnacentral:lncRNA from 1 species
GUCUGAUUGGAGUCUCCCACAGCUUACCGAGCCCUCAGCUCUUUACAUGUGUUUGGUACUACCUGUAGUCAGAUUUGCAAAUGCUUUGGGUGAGGUGAUGCUUUGGAAGAAGCAGAGAUAGUUGUUGCGCUUUUUUCUCUGUGUGUUCCACUGAGAUCUUAGGAGAGAAGAACUAUGGAAAUACACGAAGAGACAGUUCAGCCUUCAUAAAACACACACACACACACACACACAUACACACAAUUUUGAGGGCAAGGGUUAGGAGACAAGUGACUGAAAAGGAAGAAACAGGGUCAGAGACCCAGAUGCAGAGAACUUGAGGGUGUGGGCAGAGAGAAGUAUGAAGGCUUCUUCAGCUAGGAUCCCAGCAACUGGCAAUAGUAGGAAGGAAGAAGAUACUAGAGGGCAGAGGCUGCUAUAGAAUCAGAAUAAGGUGUGAAUCAGGAUAGGGCUGGGAAGAAUAUCAGAGUUUGGGAAGGGUUGUUGGGAUUCCUAAGUCUCUCAUCCUCUUCACAAGGGAGGAGAGACAAGUCUGUAGGUAUAGGUGAUAAAUGCAAGUUCUCUGCCAGAGGUGAGACAGAACCCCUCUCUCCAUCUUGCUGAGAGUCUAAGGGAGUAGUGGUGAUGGUAGGGGGAGUUGAAUACAGUGGGCCACCUUUCUACCAUUUUAUCAAAUGAUAAGGCAAAGUAAGCUUAGUUUCAAUGGUAAAAACUGGGAAAUGUCUGCUAAUACUGGGAUAAUGGUCUCUGGCUGCUUUGUUGACUUCCACUGCUCUAAGUUUGUUUUCAUUUCUUUUUACUUGAGGAAGGGUACAUGUGACUGUAUGUGUGUGCAUGCAUGCCCACCCAGUGUGUUUGCUCUCAAUAAAGCCCUUUGCAGCUAUGUGAUCUCAUUGAUCAUGAAAAGGUCACGCCCAGAUAUUAAUUUGGGGGGUUUUAAGUAAAAGACUUCUCAGUUGGUUUUUCCUUUCUAGAAAAGAGAAAUUAAGUCAGGCAGAAUUCAUAUCUGAUGGUGGAUAGAUAGAUGAAACACUUCCCUAAGUGCUGU